UAUAUAUCACGACCGCCGCUGCCUGACAUAAUCGAGUUUGAUAGAAGUUUUCGUUUUUGUUCUUCAAUCCCCAGCCGAUUGCAUUAGAGGUUCUUUAAUAGGUCGCUGGUUUCAAUGGACACGAAUAACAUUUUGAUCUCUCUCGGUCUAUAUGGGUCGGAUCAUAACAUGUUCAUUGUUCAUAGGGAAAUCACUCUGGCUGUCAGGUUGUUAGAAAAGGUGGAUGCUUUUUAUGAUUUUGGCUGGUGGAGUGGAGUAAUUACAAAGAACAUGUUGAUAGUAGAUACGCUGCAAGGUUUAUGUUUCUGAUGAUGCUGUGCAUGAUGAAUUAAGAGAAACUGCUACCUUAAACCUUAAAAAUACUAUUGGGGACACACCUACUAGUAUUGAUAAAUAAACUUAUUGUGUAACAAGAUCAAUGAAGAGAUCAAAAGCGACAAAUCUUGGUAGCAAUGAAAAGUUGCCUUCAAAUAAAAAAUUACAAUGCAUGAACUUAUAAUAGAGAUGCCAAUGUAAAGAAUUACCAAAUAGGAAGGAGAGAUAGAGUUAACUUUGCAACAGGAAAAGUCUUCAAAAUUCGUCUACACAAAAGGAAGUAGAAAUUCUAAUGUUAAGAAAUCACUGGACACAAUGUCUGAAGAUCAACCUUUUUCAGGAUGGUUCCUAACUACUCUCUAGUCAACAGGUGUCUUCGAAGGGACAUGCCAUUUAUAGUUAUAUCAUCUGAGAGCUGAAAUCAAGGAUCAGUUGGAGACUUUGUUUUUUAUAAAACACUUGAUGGAAAUGAUUUCAUAGAAGAACAGAUGAGGAGGGUUUGAAACAAUGUCUUCUAUUGUGGACUGCCUCAAUCCAUAUUUGAUUGUAACGUAUUUAUUGUUCAUAGUGUUUUGAAUUUUUCUUUAUAUAGUCAUUUGAUAUACUGGUGUG